rnacentral:rRNA from 1 species
CAGCCGCCGCGGUAAUACGUAGGUGGCAAGCGUUGCCCGGAAUUAUUGGGCGUAAAGGGCUCGCAGGCGGUUUCUUAAGUCUGAUGUGAAAGCCCCCGGCUCAACCGGGGAGGGUCAUUGGAAACUGGGAAACUUGAGCGCAGAAGAGGAGAGUGGAAUUCCACGUGUAGCGGUGAAAUGCGUAGAGAUGUGGAGGAACACCAGUGGCGAAGGCGACUCUCUGGUCUGUAACUGACGCUGAGGAGCGAAAGCGUGGGGAGCGAACAGGAUUAGAUACCCGCGUAGUCCCUGUCUCUUAUAA